ACACAGGUACCCAACACACACCUCCACACACAGCAUGCACGUGUGUGUGUGUCAGAAUAGGACCUGGCUCUCUGAAGAGGCACAGACAGACGAGGGGGAGGGGCUUCUUAGUCUACAGAGCAUGCCCAGUCUGAUGAGCACCCAGAGCUUCACCCCAUUGGUCAGAAGAUCACAAGGGGUUGCUAAGAGAGAGCCUGGCCCCACCCACAAACUCCCUCCAAUCAGAAAGCACCUUACAGACCCCAGCUGUCUAGAGGUGAGGGGUACCACCCUUCACAGAUGCAGCCGUUUUCCCCCCAUCAACCCCUCCCUCUUUACCCAGAAGCCCUUGCAGCAGGAGCCACUGCCAGGCAGAGCAGGUCAAAGGUCAGAACCUGGGGAUGAUGUCACAGGUCAUCCUGAACAUGCAUGUACUCACUAUUUACACUUGGCUUUGGAUGAAUGUGUCUGUUCAGUGUCAGUGCUUGGAGAGCUGGGAGGAGGAGAUGGAGGGAGAGAGAGAA